rnacentral:precursor_RNA from 1 species
AAUAACGCUCUAUAGAUAACUUGAUAGAUUCCAAACUUUCCCUCCCAUUAUAUUAAUGGGAGGGGGGCUUUAGGUGGGUCAAGGGAGCGUAGCUCUUGUCACAAAGACGGACUUUGUUCGUCUGCGAAGUUAUGUAUAGAGUGUUUUG